rnacentral:lncRNA from 1 species
ACAUAAUGGGCAUGUAAAUAAAAGUGUGUUCACUUUUAUUUUGAAGGAGAAGUGGUACCGGAAGCAGGUAAUCGUGAGCAGAGCGGAGUCCGGUUGAAGACGGUUGUGUGGGACAUUGUUGAAAACCGUUUUUUCGGCCGUGUGUCCUGCUCUUUCCGUUACGUGGUUCAUCAGCUACAACCGGAGAGAACCAGCAGAGCCCGUAUAUAUGGAUACACUUAUUUGAGUGAACUUUGUGCGAAUGUAUAAGACGUUUCCUCUCAGACUCAUCUAAAUUAGCUAAGAAUGCUAAAAUAAGUUAGCAUAGCUUGCUAGCUGUAGAUAGGAGACAGACAACACAGCUCGGAGAGACUAUUCGAUAGAAACCACGCUGUGUUUUUCAUAGACCAACAAAGUCCAGAUAAACCUGACUGAAUGGACUCUGUGCUGGUCCCUUUACUUGAAAACGUCUGGAUUGUCUCCUGGUGUUUUUACGAAGCUAAUGAAGUUAGCUAGCUAGCUGGAGACGGACGUGAACGUAACCUAGCAACACAGUACGUGUCAGAUUGAGUGACAGUUUUGAACGAAGUGUGUCUGGAGGAGAAGUUGCUGUGAUUUAGUAAAAAUGUCUAAAACUCAGAUGCUGAGAGAUUUUGUCAACCAGCGACUAACUGCGGCUGCUGGUGAGAUAUUUGAGCUGUUUGAAAGAACGAUAACAGAGUACGAGGAGGAGCUGGAGUUCAGCUCAAAAGAGAUUCACCGACAACGGAAACUACUGGACACUGUUUUCCACCCGGAAGUCCGGUUACACAGAGCAGUAAACGCACAGAAGAAGAAAACAGGAACAAUAACACAGAAGAAGAAGAAACAUAUGAUGAGAGUCACAGUGAACGGGAGAUCGAUGGAGACGCAGCUGUACCUGCCAAACAAGUUAAAACUUUAUGUAAGUACCAAAUGGGAGGAGACCUUCACUUAUUUAAUAAAAGCAGAGUCGGGACAACUCAUGCUUUUUGUAAAGUGUGCCAUUCAGAUGUUAGCUUUGCACACGGACGAUGUCCGUCAGCAUGAAAAAGCGUCCAAGCACAAGCACGAGCACGCCCAAGAGGCACAAACAUCCACAGUCAAUGACUUCAUGUGUGACAAGAACUGUGUCGGAGGCAGAACAAGAGACCAGAGCUGAGGGACAGAUGUCGAUGCUUUGUGCUAAACAUAAUGUCGCCUUCAGCUUCUGCAAUGAUUUCAGUCGCAGUGUCGCGACAUGUUUCCUGACUCUGCUAUCGCGAGGAAGUCCUCGUGGGGGAAACAAAAAACACACAACUCAUCAAUCAUCAAAUAAAAUGAUGAUAAAUAAAUAAAAUACAUAAAUCUUAUAAACAUGUCUGUACAAGUAAUACAUACUUUAAAUAAACAUGUAUUUCCUGAAUGUAUACCCGUCCCUUAUGUGUUUACAUUGUAUGGGUGGGGGCUGGGGGGCUGAGAGCUGUUAAAAUAUGAGCAGAGUCCGCCAAAAAAUGUCCCUUAUUUUGAAAUUCCAAUGUUGACAGGUAUGUUGUGUGUGUGUGUGUGUGUGUGUGUGUGGUCUACUGUGACCACAUGGUGUUAUCCGGGUUUCUGAAAAAUCUGAUUAUAAGGAUACUAGAGCACAUGUAAACAAACUCAGUGAUUGUACAAAUUACUUUUCAGAUUACAGUUUUCCAUCAACUUCCUGUCCAGUGAAAACCAUGAAUCUCCAGAUGUGUUGAUUUUUAAUGUUUGUAAUAAAUGGAUGAAGUGUGCCUUUAAUACCAGGGCUGUACGGUGCUCAGCCCCGGCACAAAGCUGCGCUCCUGUGACAGGUUUUUUGGGUGUGCCGCUACAAAGUGAAAAUAGGGGAAACAAAACUAAUGUAACUAAAUGUAAAAGUAGGAUUUUACUUUUGCAGUUUGUUGACUUGGAGCUUAUUUGAUUAUAGAAUAUAAUCCUUUAUUGUCGUUGCAUUUUACAACAACAUUAAUUAAUUCAACUGUCCCAAAGUCAGUGUAAACUGUCAAAAAUUCGAAAUAUUAUCCUUUUACUUUGUUAUUGUCAUCUAUUGUGGUUAUUUGCAUUAAAACACACAAUUUAAAUAAUUAGGAAAUUAAUGGUUUUAAUUCUAUUCUGUCUUGUCCCAAUUUGAAAUUCAUCCCAAAUGUAAUGAUUGUGUUUGUGGAGAUACAGCUGUGUGUGUGUAAAGAGGGAAUAGAGGAGGUGACUCAGCAUACCAUAGAAGAACAGGACGUGACAUCACGCAUAUGUUUGCGACUACGGUUUUGAAGCCUUGAGUUUGGCAUUUUGGAUGUCGCUAUCUUAUUAAUUAUUAGUUAUUAAUUGAGAUGUAGGGUU